rnacentral:tRNA from 1 species
GCGCUCGUAGCUCAGCUGGAUAGAGUACCUGGCUACGAACCAGGCGGUCAGAGGUUCGAAUCCUCUCGAGCGCGACA